rnacentral:lncRNA from 1 species
UGUGCAAGUUUUGUGUUGGUUUGUGAAAUGUUAAAUAGUAAUAUUUCAAGAAAAUUAAUGAUUCGGUACUUUAUUUUAUAAAAAAUAAAAAUGAUCUUAACCGUUGAUUAAUGAAGGUUAAAAAUAUCAUUUUAUUAUGUAACAGGUUAAAUAGUUAUUUUAUGUGAGGGUAUUUUUAUAAUUAAACCAUACAAAAUUGUAAGAAAGUUUUGAUUAAUAGCCUAAAUUUAGCAUUAAUUUUGCACUAAUUUAAGCUUUAAUUUAAGGUUUGAUUAAAAUCCCAAAUUUAGGCAUUAAUUUUAGAAAUUUUAGAAUUCUUCAUAUCUAGGCAUUAAUUUAAAUUUUAAGAAUUUUAGAAAUAGUAAUAUUUCUAAAUAUGUUGAAUUUAAAUAUUUAAUAUUUAAAAUUAAAAAUUUUAAAUUUUAAAAAAAGGGAUUUUGUAUUACUAUUUUAACAAAUUUAAUAUUGAUAAUAACGAAUU